rnacentral:tRNA from 1 species
GGCUCUAUAGUGUUAGCGGUUAGCACGCUUGACUGUCUAUCAGGAAGGAGGGGUUCGAAUCCCCUUAGAGUCGCCA